AUGUGAACUAAGAAUGGACAGUCCUGGGGAAAACGUCUGCUGUGAUUGGUAGAUGUGAAAAUUUAGGGGAGGUGACAUAGGAGAAAUUUCUCUUUAAAAGGAGCUGGCUCUCUGAACUUAGUUGGAGUUCAGACUAGUUGGAGUUCGUAGUUCAGUUUGGGAGUUCGCCAUGGAGGUUGGAGUAUGGAGUUAGUUUGGAGGAGCUGGGUCUCUGAACUCAGUUCAGGAGUUGAGGAUUUCAGUGAAGCACUGGAGUUUUGCUUGGGACAAAUCUUGUGCUCGUUUUUACAGAAAAUUGAGGUAGCAGAAUUAAGUGACUUGGCCAGGUCACACUGCUAGUAAGUGUCUGAGACCAGAUUUGAACUCAGGAAAAUGAGUCUUCCUGACUCCAUGCAUGGUGCUCCGUCCACUCUAUCACCUCACUGCCCAGUGUGACUACUUAGGGCUGACUUCCAGGGACGACUUAGGAGCAUUUGUUGGAAAGAGGGGCCCAGAACUUUGCAUGCAAUUGUUGAACUAAAGGUAAAGGUCAAGCCUUGGAUUCUUGUCAUGAAAAAUUUAAAUGGAUCAAUUUAUUCCCUG
rnacentral:lncRNA from 1 species